UUUUACAGUAAAAUAUUUAUUUGAGUAGUAGUAGAUAUUCUUGAAACUUAAAGAAUUUGGCGGUACAUUAAUCUUUUUAGAGGAACCUGUCCUGUAAUCGAUAAUCCCCGUAAAUUUAACCUAAAUUUGUAUAUCAGCUUGUAUAUCACUGUCGUAAGAUUAUUUUAUAAGAAAUUUUUCAGUAAUAAUUUUUUAUUUAUGUCAAGUCAAGGUGCAGUAAAUGUUUAGGGUUGAGAUGGGUUACAUUGUAGGUUUACACACAGAUGUAGAUUUGUAAUAUUUAUUAAAGGUGGAUUUAAUUGUAAUAUGGAAUUAAUUAUUUUAUAUGGAAAAGUACUGAUGUAUGC
rnacentral:rRNA from 1 species